GAGACACGUGGGAACAUACCCUUCGGUUCGGGAUAACUCAGGGAAACUUGAGCUAAUACCGGAUACGUCCGCGAGGAGAAAGAUUCAUCGCCGGAGGAUUGGCCCGCGUCUGAUUAGCUUGUUGGUGAGGUAAUGGCUCACCAAGGCGACGAUCAGUAGCUGGUCUGAGAGGAUGAUCAGCCACAUUGGGACUGAGACACGGCCCAA
rnacentral:rRNA from 1 species